rnacentral:lncRNA from 1 species
AACCCAUUUUCAGAAUGGCGGACCAUAGACCGUACCCGGAGGAGAAAAAACAUGGGCGGACCGCGCCGGCUACGGACAGACACACUGCAAACAACACGGGUGGCACACGUGUGUAGUAUACUGAGCGCACGGUGGUCGCUUUAAAUGAGCUCAAUCCGUUUAUUUUCGCGACUUUGUUUAUCAACUAUCAUCACGACAACACGUAAGAAAUUAGAGGAAUCGCUGGCACACCUACAUGUGCGUGAUAUGGAAAGCGGGCUCAAGAGAGACUCAAGUUCCAGUGAGGACCCAAGUGACAGCCACUCUGACCAGCUGACAGUGAUGAGAAGCAAGAAUAGUGGAUAGAUAAAAUAGCAGAUUUUGGAAAGCCACAUUGCCAGCAUGGCCAGGUGUAUGUACUGAUAUGGCUGCCUACAGGAACGUUGAGGCUGGCUAGCGUCAUGGUGCGAGUGGACUGACCGUUGAAAUCUCCAAAGUGAAUAGACUUCCUCAUAUGAAAGCUGUGGGUAUGCACCAGGA